rnacentral:rRNA from 1 species
AUUGAACGCUGGCGGCAGGCCUAACACAUUCAAGUCGAACGGUAACAGGAAACAGCUUGCUGUUUCGCUGACGAGUGGCGGACGGGUGAGUAAUGUCUGGGAAACUGCCUGAUGGAGGGGGAUAACUACUGGAAACGGUAGCUAAUACCGCAUAACGUCGCAAGACCAAAGAGGGGGACCUUCGGGCCUCUUGCCAUCGGAUGUGCCCAGAUGGGAUUAGCUAGUAGGUGGGGUAACGGCUCACCUAGGCGACGAUCCCUAGCUGGUCUGAGAGGAUGACCAGCCACACUGGAACUGAGACACGGUCCAGACUCCUACGGGAGGCAGCAGUGGGGAAUAUUGCACAAUGGGCGCAAGCCUGAUGCAGCCAUGCCGCGUGUAUGAAGAAGGCCUUCGGGUUGUAAAGUACUUUCAGCGGGGAUGAAGGGAGUAAAGUUAAUACCUGUGCUCAUUGACGUUACCCGCAGAAGAAGCACCGGCUAACUCCGUG